GGACUACUGGGGUUUCUAAUCCCGUUCGCUCCCCUGGCUUUCGUGUCUCAGCGUCAGCACAGCCCCAGCUACCUGUUUUCACCAUUGGCGUUCCAAAUGAUAUCUACGCAUUUCACCGCUCCACCAUUUGUUCCGGUAGCCCCUAGCUGGCUCAAGACUGGCAGUAUACCAAGCAGUUCCACGGUUAAGCCGUGGGAUUUCACAAGGUACUUACCAAUCCGCCUACACACGCUUUAAGCCCAGUGAUUCCGCCUAACGCUCGAGACCUCUGUAUUACCGCGGCUGCUGGCAC
rnacentral:rRNA from 1 species